rnacentral:rRNA from 1 species
GCUUGUCUCAAAGAUUAAGCCAUGCAUGUCUAAGUAUAAGCAAUCAUACUGUGAAACUGCGAAUGGCUCAUUAAAUCAGUUAUCGUUUAUUUGAUAGUACCUUUACCUGGAUAACCGUGGUAAUUCUAGAGCUAAUACAUGCUAAAAACCUCGACUUCGGAAGGGGUGUAUUUAUUAGAUAAAAAACCAAUGCCCUUCGGGGCUCUUUGGUGAAUCAUAAUAACUAAACGAAUCGCAUGGCCUUGCGCCGGCGAUGGUUCAUUCAAAUUUCUGCCCUAUCAACUUUCGAUUGUAGGAUAGAGGCCUACAAUGGUAUCGACGGGUAACGAGGAAUUAGGGUUCGAUUUCGGAGAGGGAGCCUGAGAAACGGCUACCACAUCCAAGGAAGGCAGCAGG